rfam:Danio rerio chromosome 4, GRCz11 reference primary assembly.
GUAUUGGUGAUUUAGUGGUACAAUUCUCGCCUCCCAUGCGGGAGACCUGGGUUCGAUUCCCGGCCAAUGCA